rnacentral:misc_RNA from 1 species
GUGCCAAUAUCAGGUCAUUCACAUAUUACUCAGAAGUUAUACCUGUUGGAGUUUACUCCAUCCAUUUGGACAAGGAGUUCGGAUUUAACUCGCCGAGAAGCCUCAUGCUCUGAUUCUGAGCCCCUUCUCGAACACAAAGAGUCAAUUUCAUCAAUGAAUAUGAUGUCAGUGUUGAUGAAGAUACAUUAAAAAAAGUGGUUCCACAUUCGGUGGCAACAGCUUUGGCAAGCAUGGUUUUUCCUGUACCUGGCGGGCCGACCAUCAAUACACCCUUCCAAGGUCUCCUUAUUCCCUGUAGAAGCAACAGUUUCGACUGUUU